CCAACGGCCCUCUUUAGGGCCAACAAAAACAAUUUUUUGAUCUCAC
rfam:Parastrongyloides trichosuri strain KNP genome assembly, scaffold: PTRK_scaffold0000093